rnacentral:rRNA from 1 species
UACGUAGGGGGCGAGCGUUGUCCGGAUUUAUUGGGCGUAAAACGCUUGUAGGUGGCCACGUCAAGUCGGAUGUGAAAUCUCCCGGCUCAACUGGGAGGGGCCAUUCGAUACUGGCGGGCUCGAGGUCGGUAGGGGGAAGCGGAAUUCCGGGUGUAGUGGUGGAAUGCGUAGAUAUCCGGAGGAACACCAGAGGCGAAGGCGGCUUCCUGGACCGAUUCUGACGCUGAGGCGCGAAAGCUAGGGGAGCAA